GUCAUGUGAUUCAUUGAAAACGUCACCGAAAUGGCAGAUCAGCCGUCUAAGACAGAUAUUCAGGCAAUUUUCAAACGUCUUCGUUCAAUCCCUACAAAUAAACAAUGUUUUGAUUGUGCAAGCAAUAAUCCAACAUGGGCAAGUGUAACCUAUGGUGUUUUCUUGUGCAUUGAUUGUUCAGCUGUACACAGAUCCCUAGGGGUCCACAUUACCUUUAUCAGAUCUACACAGCUGGAUACUAGUUGGACAUGGAUACAGUUAAGAGCCAUGCAAGUGGGAGGAAAUGCAAAUGCUACACAUUUUUUCCGUCAACAUGGUUGUACAUCUUCAGACUCGCAACAGAAAUACCACAGUCGUGCAGCCGAGUUGUACAAAGGAAAGUUACACUCAUUAGCGACACAGGCCAUGAAAUUACAUGGUACAAAGUUACACAUUGAAAGUCAUCAUGAUCCAACAUCUCCAGUGAACAAGGAAGUAGAUUUCUUUGAUGCCCAUACAGAGGAUAAAGAACCCGAUUUGAUACAAGAAAGUCAGAAACUCACACAUACUUCAGAACCAAAGCCUAUUAAAAAUGGAAGUCUCAGUAAAGCUGAGGAAAUAGAUCCAUCAGAAGGUCCUUCUGUUGAUCAUGCUCUGAGUAUGUCUCCUACCCAAGCCAUGGCUCAUGCUGAACCUAGAAAGGCAUUGAUAGGUGCCAAGAAAACAGGAGGAGCAAAAAAAUCGAAAGGAUUUGGUGCUCAAAGAGUAAAAGCAAAUUUCAGCGAAAUUGAGAAUAAAGCCCAGCAACUUGAUAAAGAAAGGGAAGAACUAGCUAAAAAUAUGGCUGUACAAGAGGCAAAAACACAAGAGGAGAAAGAUAAACAAAUGGCAACUAUGAAGUUAGCAUACAAAGAUAUGAGUAUAGAAAGAAAGAAACAAGAAGAUAAAUUAAUGAUUGCUGAUCCAAAGAAAGCAGCACAGUUUGAGAGACUUGGCAUGGGAUUUAGUGGCCAUAAAGGAGUUAGUCACUCAGCUAUGACAGAUAUGCAGACAAUUAACCAAGACUCUCCAGAAAAUGACAGUAAAUCACGUUUAGAAAAAUACAGCAGUAAACCUUCAAGGUCCAGAAAUUUCUUUGAAGAUGAACUAGAUGAUAUGGGAUUUUCAGGAAAUAAAAAUGAGAGUGCAUUUGAUAUAGACAGAGACAAUUCCUGGGGAAGUAAAGAGAGUAGUUGGGGCAGCAGCAAUAAAUCUGGUAGCUGGGAUAUAGAUAGAUUUGAAUCUAAACAAAGCUUUACUGAAAGUUUUCCAUCAAAGAAUGAAGAUGACCGACCAAGUAGAAGUAGAAAGGCUUAUGAUUAUAAUACAACAUCAUCUUCAGAAGAUGCACAGAAAAAAUUUGGGAAUGCCAAAGCCAUUUCAUCAGACCAGUAUUUUGGAGGUCGAGAUUCUGAUUUUGAAACCAAACAAAAUUUACAGAAAUUUCAAGGAAGUAACAGUAUAUCUAGUGAUGAUUAUUUUGGUGACAAUUCCUCUAAAAAUAGAUCUUAUAAUAGUGGUCCCGAUUUACAAGAGAUUAAAGAUGGUGUACGACAAGGUGUUACUAAAGUAGCAGGAAAAAUAUCGUCUAUAGCCAGUGGUGUUAUGACAUCUUUACAGAGAAAAUCUUGAGCUUUGCGUUUGCACUAACUACAUAGAAUUAAAGAUAUUAUAAAGAAGAAGAUUAUAGGACAAAUAUGGAAAUUGAUGGGAAUUUAUAUUAAUUUUGGUCAUCUUAUUAUUCAAAGAGCAGUAGAAUGGAAAACCUGCUUAACAGACAAUGAAAACACUUUCAUUUCUUGCUGACAAAACAAUUAAAGAAGAUUCUGGAAACAGCACUGUAGGAACAAUAGUUCAUUGAAUUCAUGAGAAUAAAAUAAGAUGCAAUAUAUUUAGUCAAAGAGAGGAGACUAAAUUGAGACUUUGAAUAAAUCAUAUGAAUACUUCUACAUCCAGAUGAAAGAUUUUCCCACAAAGAUAUUAAUUAAGUAAAAUUUUUAUAAACAGAGUCAUUCCGGCUAUGUUAUAAGGUUUUGCAGUGUACCAGCAUUGCAAAGUACAGUGAUUAGUUGUACAUAAUAUUUAAUGUUAAUUGUAUAACUAUUUUGUUUAAUUGGUACUAAUUUAUAUCAUUAGUAUAAAUGGUUUUCAUUCAGGUUAAAAAAAAAAAUGUCAAUCCUCUCAGCUAUCUUCCUUGUCAGUUAAAAAUCCCCCCCCUAUCUUUAGUUUGCAAAAAGCUAGAUUUAUUUCAGAUGAAUUGUAAAGAUGGGAGAGGGAGUUACUCGCAUCUCACACCAUUUACUCAUGCCAAUUUUACAGUAGGAAAUCUGAGAUAUUUCUUUCUAAAAAUCAUAAAAUUCCUACCCUUCUUACAGUCCUUACAGUGUUUUCCCCAGUGCUUAAUACAUACAGUUUUCUCUGGAAUAAUCCAAGUCACAUAACCCAGAAAUUGUAUCCCUUCUUAGCUUCCAAUCCAUGUGUAAAACACCCUCUCUUGAAUCUCAUUAAUGAGAUUUUACUUAUGGGAUGUCCAAAAUGAGUAUAUCUAACUUGAAAAAUUACAUAAAAUACAUGCCUUUAGUCAUUUUCUGCAAAAGUAAAUAAAAAAUGGCAUUCAAUAUAUAGACUGAUCAUCUGAUAGUUAUAAAACUCUCAACUAUAGUGUUCUUUUCCUAAUAAUUGUUAAUUGCAAUUGUCUCAAAAUUAGUGCACUAACUUUCUAAAUUAUUUAACCUGUAGGUUGUAUUAAAUAGUCAGUAAUUUUACAUUAACAUGUUAGAAAGUUGAUUGUGAACAAUUAGAUCUUUAUAGAAUUAAUUUCUGAAAACAAAAAAUUAUUAUUACUUUUUCUUAUAUUGUUAGUAAAAAUGUACCAGCAUGGAGUACUAUAUUGUAUAUAGUGCUUCCAUGAUACAAGUUAAUCUGCCUUUGCAUUCAGGAGCAGACAAUCACCUAACUCAUUUAAGCUACAGUUUUAUUUUACGAAACAUGAAAUCUUUCUGUUAUUAAAGAACAUAUUGGUAAAAUGUUUGGUGGCAGGUCCUACCUUAUUAUAUAUUCUGGUUCUGUCCUAAUUGUGGUAAUCUCUAUUUGUAUCUAAAUCAUCAUGUCAUUGGUGAAAAAGGGGUCAAAUUGUUCUUUCUGGAUGUGUAUUUCUCAUAUUUUCCUUUUCCGUUAUACUUCAUAACCCCUCUGACUUAUCUGAAGCAAUUAAGUAUUAAAAAUAUUUGCCUUGCAACUUAUUUAUUUAUAUUUUUUGAUGAAUGAAUAGAGAUGUAAGGAAUACAUCAUGAGACAGAAACCCAAUGACACAAAAGAAUAAAAGAAAUCUACAUUUCCAACGCAUUAUUGCCAGAAUAUUUCCAAAUUCUUGUUAGCUAGUUACACUUUUCAUACACUUUUACAUUCAAAAUGUCCUGAACAUAUCAUUUGAAAAAUCCAGAUACCUCUUUUUCUGUCAAAAUUGUAGUUUUUCAAAUAUUUAAACCAGUACAUCUCAAAAACAAUCACAAAGUUCCAUCUUUUUCUUUAAAAUUAUUUUGAUCUUUUUUACACUCUAUUAAAAUUUUAUUUUUAUAUGUGUUGUUAUUUUGAAUUUGAAGCAGAGAACAUUAUCAAUACUUAACGUCUUGAAGUUUGAAUUCACCAAAUAAUGUAUUGUAAAUGUACCUGUAGGUAAUAACACAGGUAAAUGUUUAAAAAUAAUGAAUAGCAGGACAUUUGGGGAAUGACAAAGAAGCAGCAACCACACUCAAGUUCCUGAAUAAUAAAAAUCUUUAGUAUUACAUCUGUUUCUGAUUUAUGAAUAAGAAAUAUUGCUACAUUUAUUUUUGAGUAAGAAUGUUUUGUUAAUGCAUUUUAAAAUGUUGGAAAAAAUCAUUUAUUCUUUCAGUGGUUCAUGUACUACAUUUAAAAUGUCUAAAUUAUAAAAUAAACUUUAAGUACAAAA